ACCACCGCUCUUAUUUUGGCAAGUCGCACCAACCGGACGUACUACAGUGUUUUCCCGGGCAUGAGAAAAUACAGCUUGAUGCAGGGAGCUGAUGUCCCGCCCGUCUUCAAUUCAAAACCUGCUGAGCAACACUGUCCAGAUCAGAAAUAAUUUAACAAGCAGAGAAAAAGGCAACGUGAAGCGGUUCUUAAGAAGAUUUCUCAUUUCCACAUGAACAGAAGGAGCAGCUUCAGCUCUGCCUGUGGCUGUGAGCUCAGGAGAUGAAGAGGAAAGUGGUGCUGCAGGCCAGGAGGAAACCUCUGUGCCAUAAGAGGCAGCAUCCGCCAGAUCUUCCUACACUUCUCAUAAACCCCCCCUCUCUGUUGGCGUGAGACCACAAGUCGCAACACGGAAACAAAAACCGAGUGACACCAUCGCCCGUCAAACAGUCAACUUUUCAUCAACAUGGACGAUUAUUUUGGUGUCUGUAACCAGAGGUUUAUGAAGUGACAUUUUCAGACCAGCAGUUUACAAGUUUAAAACGGGGUGUGUCAGCAACUAUUUCUGGAGAGCAGAGAGUCUCGGACUGGACCGCUGAAACGGGAUCCGUUCAGCGGCGGGGAAAAUGUGUAGGUGGAGUGAAGGGAGGCGAUGACAGAAAUAAAAAUAAAUAAAUAAAAGAGAAUUGAGAAAAAAAAAUGAAAACAGGUUUUCCAAAACUGUCUACAUCUGGUGGCAUGUUAUCAUCUACUUUAAAAUAACAUUUCUAACUGAAGGCCUGUUGUUCUCUGGUGGAAGUAACCAAAGCGCUUGUUCUCUGAAUAAAACUCAAAUUCCUCAAGUAUAGAUUUAGGUUGUUAUAAUGACCAUAAGUCACUCUUUCAUUGUGAGCAGAGAGAAAACAGAGGGAGAGUAGUCUGACACAAACCAUAGAAACCUAAAAAUGUUCUUGUCCAUUUCAAAUCAGUAAAUCAGUGAUAUUCUAUGCAUUCUUUGAACGUUUCUGCUGCCUCAACUUCAUUAACUGUUCAAUUCCUUAGAAUAGAAACAUUACUCUUGAAGAUAAUUGAAACAUUUGUAAAGUCAUAAUUCUUUGUCAUCUUGUACAACCUGGACAUGGCUGAGCUUGAAUUUUCUUUAGUUGGUGUUUGACCUGAUUAUUUCAGGAGUCAGAGAUCUGGCUCCUCCUCUGGUAACCAGUGAAAGCCAUCUCCAGAGUACUAAACUCACUACAACUCCCAGCAACCCUAGCGCACAGUCCCUGGAAUGCCACUCACCUGACAGAGCCUCACUCAGUGCGAAGUAUUGUUGAGCGUUUCUACCUGGACCUGAUCCUCUGUUUCUGACCCUGAUUAUUCUGAUUCCCUGCCGCCUGCCCUGACCCUAGCUUGGACUCCGACAUCUUCUUGGUUGACCCCACACUGGUGAUUGACCUGAUUCAACUUUGUGGACUUUUAGCUGAACAAAUAAACAUGACAACGGAUGUGAACAAUUCUUUGACUUACAGCAUUCAAAUUUCUGCCACGGCACUAGCGCUCAUCUUCAUCUAUCAAAGGAGACGUUGGCGUCUUAUUCACGUGCUACGUGAGAGCGGCUACAGGUGAAGAGAAUUUGGGAAAUGGUGGAUUUACAGAGGAGCUGUAACAAUUCUGCAUGACAUGCUCAACUUCUGAUGAGCUGUGUACCCAAAACAGCCUGUUCCUAAAAGCGUAGCAGGCCCUAUCCAAGGGGUACCCAAAUCCAGGCCUCGAGGGCCAAUUUCCAAAAUCCUGCCUUAUCUUCUGCUGAUUACCUGGAUCAGGUGUGUUAGGCCAAUAAGGAGCUUCAAUGGCAGGUUGGUUAGAAAACAUGUAGGACUCCGGCCUAGAUUUGGGCACCACUGCCCUGUGUGGUUGUCGGCACGUGGCCCAUUAAUGAUACAAAUUAAUUAAUAAUACAAAAAAUGUGUUUCUAUUGCAGUUCUGCAAAAUGUGUCAAUUUUGAUACGUCUCAAAAAAUCCCUUCUCCAAGUGCAAAAAACGUUUUUUCAAUAUAUAUGAAUUUUUUUGAAAUUGUUGUGUUUCGUUAAGCAAAUUUAUUAUUGCAAAUACAUUUUGCAAUAAUUGCAUUUUACAAAAUGUAAUGUCACUGGGUUUUUAGUGUAUUUAUGUCAAUCAAAUAAACUGAACUGAGUUUGAGUCUAAACCAGGUUUAAGCUUUA